CUGCCGCGACAUUACGCGACAGCCGCCUCUCGUCCGCUCUGCAGCCGCAACAGAUUCGCACGCUCACCACCGCCGCCAUGAGGACUCGCACGCUGCUGGUACUGCUGCUCCUGUUGGUGGCUGCGGCCACACUCGUCGCCCCCGCGACAGCCUGGAGGUGGCCCUGGGAGAAACCGAAAAUCACAGCAGAGAUGAUCAAGAUGCGGCAGAGGUGUGGGUCCGGAACGGUGCGAGUCGGCAGCAUGUGUAGAAGGGUAUACAUGGCAUGAGGUGGCUGGGGACGUUCUUAAUGUGGGCGACAUUUCAACAGAAUGGAAAAAGUGGAAGCUUUUAUAUGCAUUUCAGUGAUUUCCUGGUGUAAACGCUCAUCAUGUACGUUGCUGACAGUGCAGAGAUUCUAAGGGAAGGAAUCAAGAUGGAAGUCCUACGUGUGUGUACUCAACUACAUUUUACAGCCCAUGAUCCUGUGUCUCUCAGUCAGCUCACUGAGUAGUUGUCUGUAACGUUCAGACGUGUAGUUGGCUCGAAUGCUUAUUGCAACUUUAUUGAAACAGAACCAUGGUGCCGAUUUCUGCAAAUAUAACAGGCUUCCAAACUGCA